UACGGGGGGGGCAAGCGUUGUUCGGAAUUACUGGGCGUAAAGGGCUCGUAGGUGGCCAACUAAGUCAGACGUGAAAUCCCUCGGCUUAACUGGGGAACUGCGUGUGAUACUGGAUGGCUUGGAUUUGGGAGAGGGAUGCGGAAUUCCAGGUGUAGCGGUGAAAUGCGUAGAUAUCUGGAGGAACACCGGUGGCGAAGGCGGCAUCCUGGACCAAUAUUGACGCUGAGGAGCGAAAGCCAGGGGAGCAAACGGG
rnacentral:rRNA from 1 species